CUCCUAUUGAAAACAAACCCUGCAUAUCACACAACCAUUAAGAGUUGAAGAAAGAAUGGCACAGGCCACGUUUGUACUCGUUGUGUAUGCAAAGGAUCACAGAAUGAAAAUAUCAGCAAUAAUCUGGAGACUUUGAGCAACAAAAUUGUUGCUCUCAAAACAAAAGUCAGAAAGAGGCCUUCCACAAAUUUAAUUUGCUUCCAGUGUCAUGGGCAGGCAUACAGAUAAGGUUUAUUUUACUCUCUAUAACCAAAUUAAGACCAAUUCCUUACCUACCUCUUCUCCACUCCCAAGAACAAAGUUUUCUCUGAAUGUUGCUAGACUACAAGGCUUAUACCUUGAAUCUGUUUAUAACCUCCCCUGUGACCUGAAGAGUACCAGGGACACAGAGCAGGACUGAUCUGAUGUGCAUACCUGUUUCAGAUUGAGCUACUGGAGCAGAUUCUAGUGUGUAGCAAGAAGCGAAAGAAGGCAAUCACAAAUGACUCCUGAUUCUGGAAGCGCCUUUUCCUAGCUAUGAAAAUGUGCUACUCAGAAUGCUCACAGCAGGGAACAUAAGUGACUGACAGCCCCAGCUGCUGUCCCACUGGAUCCACCGCUAAGUUUGCUCCAAAACCCAGCGGAUGACCGAACAUGACAGUGGUACUAGAGCAGGAUCCUUCCAGCAGAGUGUGGGAUUCUUUUGAAGGGCACCUUCUACCUGAGAACUCCCCAAGGUUUUAGCCAAAACUUUUAUGGAACUGCAGAUUACAUGAAGCUUGGAUAAAGGAUACAAUGGCUAACACAAACAGAUUGCAAAAUGUGGGAUUAUAUAACAUGAGACAUUAUAUAUGUCUCGACUAAGAAGAUAAAACUGAAACAACCACACAUUUUGCUAAUUUGAUCCAGAGUCCAAUGACAAAAUCACAAGAAUUUAUUUGGAGUAAGAAAAAGGUCAAUAAACAACUCUAUUAAAAAAACUGGAGGAAGAGCUGAAUAGAUGUUUUCCUAGAGAAGAUAUACAGAGGCCAACAGUAAUCAAGACUUGGAAACAACCUAAAUGCCCCUCAAUGCAUAAACGGAUGGAUAAAGAAGAUAUGAGAUACACACACACACACAUGCUCACACAAUGGAAUACUACUCAACCAUGAAAACGAUGAAAUCUUGCCAUUUGCAACAACAUGGAUGGACCUUGAAAGUAUUACACUAAGCAAAAUAUGUCAGAUAGAGAAAUACUAAUACCAUAUGAUUUCACUCACAUGUGGAAGAUAAACAAACAGACAAACACGUAGAUAAAGAGAACAGAUUGGUGUUUACCAGAG
rnacentral:lncRNA from 1 species